UAUGUGCUGCAGAGCUGUCAAUCAUCCUCAGAGGCCUCAUCAGCGUGCAGCAGUGGCUGAUGGGAGUUUAAGAGCUCCGUCUGAUCGUCCUGGUUCGUCCUCACUUCUCGUCAGCUUCACCAGAGGAAACACAGAAUGAUUCUCCUGUCAGCUGUGGCUCUGUGCUGUGUGUGCUCAGCUCUGGUUACCACGGCAGCAAAGCUCCAACAGCCCCGUUUAUCACUGACCAGGAACGUUGGAGAAGAAGUCUCCAUCAGCUGUGAAGACUUCAGCCAGUGUUAUAACAAUGAAAAAUGAUUUCACAUCUGUGACCAGACAAAUCCGCGUUGACCUGCAGAUCAGGAGUGUUAAACUCUCUCAUUCAGCCACCUACUACUGCGCCUGUUAUAAACGAGUC